UACUUCCUUCAAUUAUAAUUGGUUACAACAACAUCAAAUUAUUUUUCCAACUACUAAUGCUCACAUUCACCCUAAAUUUAACCGUUCACAAAUAUAAAUUUUUCAUUCUCAACCAAGUAUAUAAAAUUUAAAGAACCCAUAGAAACUAUACAUACCACCAUUUUAUACUCAAAACUCAUUCAUAUCACUAAAAUCCAACCAAACACUUAUAAUUAUUUCUCAAAAAUAUUUUGCAAUCACAUAAUAAUUCAAUAAAUACUAUAUCCCAUCUCAAAAUAAUU
rnacentral:misc_RNA from 1 species